GCCAGUGUGGCUUAGUGGUUUGAGCGUUGGACUAUGACUCCAGAGACCAGGGUUCAAAUCCCGACAUGGCA
rnacentral:tRNA from 1 species